rnacentral:rRNA from 1 species
UACAGAGGGUGCAAGCGUUAAUCGGAAUUACUGGGCGUAAAGCGUGCGUAGACGGUUACAUAAGUCGGGUGUGAAAGCCCCGGGCUCAACCUGGGAAUUGCAUUCGAGACUGCGUAGCUAGGGUGCGGAAGAGGGAAGCGGAAUUUCCGGUGUAGCGGUGAAAUGCGUAGAGAUGUGGAGGAACACCAAUGGCGAAGGCAGCCUUCUGG